GCCGGUAGGAUGACAGCGGAAGGAAACAAGCAGAGCCGUGCUGGGCCCGGCGCCUUGCUGCGGCUCCCGUUCUCACCGGGAAAAGAAAAAUAAAAAUUAAGCAGUGACGUGAGAUAAACCCGAGACAGGAAAAACAAGAUCUUCCUCCCCACGCUAGCAUCGUGUUGUCUGUGUAUGCGCACACUGUAGAGCUAAACCACAGGAAAAAUGGAAAGCUGAGACUUUGCAGCUGGUAAAAGGAAGUCAGGAGAUUGGGGAGAUCCCAGAGGAAGAAGGGCACUGCCAUGUUGUCUGCAAAGGAUUCUGGAAGAAGAGAGCUGCUGCCAAGAGUGAAGGUCACCAGACUCCCUGAGGACAUUUAUUGGAAACAGUAUUGGCUGUGACUUCUCUGUUGCUCUGUAAUGUGAAAACCAGCAACGAGCUGAGCUCACCACAAGGCCAGAGAGGAAAAAACCUUGCUUUGAAAAGAUGUAGCCCUUCCGAAGAGGAACAGAAUAACCCUUACUGGAGACACGGAGCCGUAUUCAUCAGCCUUAUGGGGAGGUAAAAAUGAUCAAACUGUGCUUAUCACAACUCCUAUUGCUUUAAGUAUCCUGAGAAAAAUGAUAAGCCAAGGGGGCACCCGGAUUUGAACCGGGGACCUCUUGAUCUGCAGUCAAAUGCUCUACCACUGAGCUAUACCCCCUGCUGCUGCCUGCCUGCCCAGCACGAAUUUUCCGAGCCAUUCCAGACGUGAAUAAAUUCCUGCAAAUCAUUCCCAGCACAAAAAGAAAUGCUUAAGGAAACACUCAGCUCUCCACUCACCAACACUCCACUGCCAGUCCUCUUUGCGUGGCCAUGUGCUUCUCAGCACCGGGUCAUUGCUGCACCCACCAAGGGACGUCCCCUGCAGACAGCUGAGGGGAGAAAAAAGUCAAUGGAAAAGCUGAAAAGCAACUUGUGGGGCAGAAAAAGGAGGAAAAGGGGAGGGGGCACCCGGAUUUGAACCGGGGACCUCUUGAUCUGCAGUCAAAUGCUCUACCCCUGAGCUAUACCCCCACCUGUCCAGCACCUCCCAGGUGAGGCCCUUUGUGGCCACUGACAGUGGCACCGCUGCAUUCCACUGCCUGCACUCCCAGCUCUGGCUCCCACACAGCAUCCCUUUCAUUAACCUCCUCUGUGCUUCACACACUUGCAAACUCUUGGAGGAACAAACCAGUGAGAUCCCUGCUCACCUUGUCUCACCACAGAAGAAAGAACACGUGGCACCUCAGAACACCUUAGGAGGCACUCACCUUUGCCUCUGUUUGCUCUCAGCUCACAGCCGUUGCCUCACUCCACACCACCGUCCACAACCUCCCUGCCUCCCCUGCUGUCUGCCUACAGCCUGGGGAAAAGGGAAGCAAACAUCCAAUGACUUACAGCUAACUGUUGUGACUUACAGCUAACUGUUGUGCCAUGCCCUGCCUAGGGAAAAAAAGGAAAGUCUUUAUAAUUCAGAAACGCAGAAGCUGUAAGGAGACAGAUGAAGGGAGGACACGUUUUAGGGCUUGUUUCCUACUUGUCAGCAGGUGUCUGCUGACUGCAAAGGAGGUCACUCCUCAAGGAGCGAUGCAGCAUUACCCGCAGUGGCUGCUGGAUGCUCACAGGGUGUCAGGUCUGCAAGGAAGAGGCCACAACUCCUCACCCGCCCCAUGGAAACCUGCAGGAGGAGCUGUGCUCACCGUACCGGAGUCCCUUCCCCAGUUCCCCACCCAUUGCACAGCUUAUGCUGAUCCAGCAAUAGUCCGUAGGCCCCAUUUUUAUCGUGUUUUGCCACAAAACAGGACACGGCUGUUCAGAAACGUCCACACUGCUUUUUAAGCAAAGCUUUUGCCUCCAGAAAUCCAUCUGUAGGGGAACCCCACGUGGAUCAGGGGGCUCUUCCAGCAGCCGGUGCACACAUACCUUACAGCUGUGAUCGCAGAGCCUUCCGGAUGAUCAUGAAACUCACAUCAUCCCUCAGCUUGCAAUUAUCCCGUGACCCGAUGACUUGUUUCACCACUGAUUGAGGCUCUGAGGCACGUGCUCCAGCCACCACCUCAGCUAACAGCAGUGGGCUUCAUGUGUCCUUGCACUGUCCUCAGGAAGGACCAAAGAAACCAUUUUAGUGUGCUCUGCCAUACAAACUGCGUAGGGGGUUUCAUCACUUUCAGGCACAACUUCCCCCCAUUCAGGAUCUGUUCAACCACUCAUUCUGAAGGAAAGUGAAUACAGACAAACAGGUUUUGUUGAAGGGCUUUCGGAGCUCCCAGCCUUUAUCACUGCAUCCCAAAGUUGGAUCGAUUCAGUUACUGGGAUCCAUCAUUGCAGUAUAAGCACCUUCCUGAUGGUUCUGCCUCAUUAGGACUGAUCACCAGACCUUAAACUCCGCAGCCAAUUUCCCCCUGCUGUACCCACCCACAUCUGAGCUUUCAUGAAGGGUUUCCCAAACCUGAAAUAAUUCCCUCAGCGCUGUCAUGCUUGGCAGAGGAGCACACUUGAAUCUCAACAGACACCAUUUUUUUUUGGUACAAGUUCUUUUAUUUCAUCUGCACAAAGAUGAGCACGUUCACGCAAUGCUUCCUGCAUUGGAGGCUAUCCUGGGCCACAGAUCUGCACACUCCUUGGCCACAGGGCCU